rnacentral:rRNA from 1 species
AUUGAACGCUGGCGGCAGGCCUAACACAUGCAAGUCGAGCGGCAGCGGGAAAGUAGCUUGCUACUUUUGCCGGCGAGCGGCGGACGGGUGAGUAAUGCCUGGGAAAUUGCCCAGUCGAGGGGGAUAACAGUUGGAAACGACUGCUAAUACCGCAUACGCCCUACGGGGGAAAGCAGGGGACCUUCGGGCCUUGCGCGAUUGGAUAUGCCCAGGUGGGAUUAGCUAGUUGGUGAGGUAAUGGCUCACCAAGGCGACGAUCCCUAGCUGGUCUGAGUGGAUGAUCAGCCACACUGGAACUGAGACACGGUCCAGACUCCUACGGGAGGCAGCAGUGGGGAAUAUUGCACAAUGGGGGAAACCCUGAUGCAGCCAUGCCGCGUGUGUGAAGAAGGCCUUCGGGUUGUAAAGCACUUUCAGCGAGGAGGAAAGGUUGAUGCCUAAUACGUAUCAACUGUGACGUUACUCGCAGAAGAAGCCCCGGCUAACUUCGUGCCAGCCGCCGCCGUAA